rnacentral:tRNA from 1 species
CGGGAAGUAGCGCAGUUGGUUAGCGUACACGUCUGGGGGGCGUGUGGUCGCCAGUUCGAGUCUGGUCUUCCCGACCA